GCCGCCCGCCGGCGAGGGGUGGCUGAACAGUUUCCAGCGGAGGCGCAGGAUGUGCUUCACGUCGAAGUCUUUCCUGCCGGAGCCGGACAUGCACCUCUCACCAAGCCGCCCCCUCCCCUGCAUGUGACGUAGAUGCGCUCUGGGGCCACCAGUGUGAAGAGACAGAAGGAAAGAGAUGCUUCAGUCUUCCUCAUGCAAGUACUCUUUGCAUUGGCCAGCUUUACCCAUGCACUCAUAGAAUCAGAGAAUCAUUAAGGUUGGGAAAGACCUCUAGGAUCAUCAAGUCCAACCAUCAACCCAACACUACCAUGUCUCCUAAACCAUUCCCUGAAGUGCCACGUCUACAGGUCUUUCAAAUUUAAAUGGUCUCAUCAGAUGGAAGUGUUUUCCUAAUGCUGAAUGUAAAUCCCCCUUGCUGUAACUCAUCUUAUUACAUUUUUAUUUUGUUUCGAAGGAUGGAAUACUUUCUUCUUCCAAGCAUCUACCUUUUUAGCUAUCAAAAGUUUAUACUAACUCUUUGUGAAUUCAGGAAGUAAAAUCAAAGGUAGAAUGUUUUAAGUCCUCAUUCAUAAAACACUAUAGCCUGAAAAUUCCUCCAGAGAAACACAAAAGUUAAACAUUAAUUAACAAUUUUAUUACUGUUUUGUUUACCCCAUCACUGAAGUAUAUUACUGUUUCAUUUAGUUUAUCACUGAAGUAGUGCUUCUGGGUACAAACCAGUACCAGGUUUUGUGUUUUAAUGUUGAUGAAGUUCUGGAUUUAACAGAACAUGAAAUUCAGGACACAAAGUCCUAUUUUCAAGGGAAGAAAAAUUGCCACUGUGCAUUUUAAAUAUUGAUUUAUGCCACAACAGCUGGACUGCAAACUCUCUAGUGCCUCAAUUUUGCUCUCAGUAUUCAGUGAUAAAAAAAAAGACAAAAACCAUUCUAAAGCAAACAGAAGAGACAGUUCAUUUUUAUCCAUGAACUGAUCUGAGUGAAUAUGUGCUGCUUGGGAGAGCAGCAGCAGCAAAGCCUAAAAAUCUUCAUCUAGAACAGGACAGAUGAAACUCUCAUCAUUUCAGAGACUUCAGAAAUGCAUCUCUUAUGACAAUAUAUGUGAAAUCACCUAUAGUGAAUCUUGGUUACUUAAUGUCUGAUUACAAGCUCUAAAAGAUGAGGAUAUGAACACAUAAAAUAGCUUUAAUCAAGGAAUACAUAGAUACUAUGCUAUCUGUUUUGUGUUUAAUACCUCUUAACUGGUCAGGAAAAUGCAGAAAUAUUCUGAUUUGAGGAAAAUUACAUAAUUUCCUUGCCAUGUUAUAAAUCUUAGUCAUUUUUAAAUCUGAAUUAGCAUUUUAGUUGAUCAUUUGAUGUGAACAGUUGAUGGGUUAGGUUUCCUAGCUUUACUUUUGUUACAUAGAUAAAUAUAAAUGACAAUACAUUCCAACAAAAUUGUUCUUCUAAAUAUACUUCGGAGGUCACUUAAUUAAUAUAUUGCAGUAUUACCCAAGAAAGUGACUCAGGUUUUCAUCACCUUUCCAGUACAAACUUGAAAAGCAAUUAUAAAGAAAAAAAAAAUUAAUUUGUUAUUCAUACUUUUAAACUUUCAUUUAUUUCAGUAACUGAAAAAAUAGUCUUAGAUGGUUUUUAAUAAUUAAAAUCUCAGCUCUUCAAGAUAUUGUGUAGGUUCUGAUAUGCAUUUUAACAUUACUUGAUUCUUUAAUAUUUCAGUACAUAAACAUCUUUUGCAAGUGAGAUGCAUUACUUUGGAUGUAAACCUGAUCUUUCAUGAAUGAAGAUGUAUGAACACUUCUUUAUCAUAAAAUGAAAUCUGAAAAACUCUCUUGAUUUUCUUAAUUCAUAUCACACUCAAUUAUUUUGUCAUUAUAAACAAGAGCUACCCCAAAAAAAGAUACACUGGAGAAGUAUCCAUUGUCACUACAUAUAGUUAAUGAAUAAAUUGGUUUCCCGAGCAUGAAGUAAAAGAAUGAAACAGUUUGGUUUACUUAGGUUUUCAUAGUUUCUUAUGCUUAUGUUUCCCUGCAAACACUUUUUUGACAUAUGCCAGUGAGACAAAGAACAUACUCUAGAUUAUUGUGUGACAAAAUGCUUUUCAGUUUCAGUUGAAACUUCUGGUAUAUAAAAAGACUAACUUAACUCUUUAGGUUGUCUAGGCUUGCUUCUCCAUCCAGGAGAAGAAAAAAUGGUUCUCUACAGGAGUUCUAGGGACCUUGCUCAUAGGAAUUAAAAUAAAAUAAUUAGUUUACUAGUCAAGUAUGUCUUAGUCAACUCAUAUGGGGUUGACAUAAACAUAUGAACAGAAUUGUGGAAAUACACUUGUCUCAAAGUUGUUGAAGGAAACAUUUUGAUGCCUAACAGCAUUCUGUCCCUACCUUACACAUCCCAUGAAGUGUAGCCAAGAUAAUAAUAAACAUGGGCAGUCUGUCACAUGUCUAUUGGUCGCAUGCUGGAACAUAGUGUGUGGCAUUGUAUUUUUGUUUAUUAAACAGCAUGUUUCUGAAAUUCCUCAGCUGUUGUAGUUUCUCCAGUUUAUUUAUAACCACUCAAAUCUUGAGUCACUUGACAGACUGCUUCAAAGUGCUCCCGACUCCUUUAUUAGUUAGGCAAACAGAUGAAAGUGGUUAAUCUUUAUGUCCCUGUUAUGAGUCAGAUUCCUGACGCUUUCUGUGUUUUUUGUCUUUCUAAUGCUCUUCAAAUGAAUUAAAUUCACAUAGUCAUGUCCCUAAGGAAGUCUCACACUCAUGUUUUGUAGGAAAAAUGGCCUAGGGAUAUAUAAUCUUUUAAUAAAUCCUCCAAGUAGUAAGAAGCGCUUUCAAAGAGAAGAACCUUGAAGUAGGUGUCCAAACUGGUCAAUUUUUAUUAACAGUCUUUUUUUCCUUCUUGCCGUUGCAAGGCUUUGGAGUAUUAUUUAUUUUGGAGUUUCAGAUGUUUUACAUUAAGCUGCUUACAUGUUAUACCCUGUACCUCAGAGAGAACUGGUGGAUCAGGAAUAAAGUUAACUUGUAGUUGCAGUUAUCAAUUGCUAAAAUGAGCAACAGAGGAAGCAUCAUGCAAAAUAAUUUGCUAACAGUACCCUUAGGGUUAUGAAUACUCCUAAUCUAUGUGAGCCUCCACGUUACAUUUACGUUGUUGAAAGACAUACAGCAAGUGAGUCUGAAGGUGAUGAGUGUCUGUGUUACUGUGGAAGGAUAGCUAUUAAUAAAAGAAGGGAUACACCUCUCAGAAAAAUAAAAGUAUAAGGGGUAAUUUUGUUAAUGAAUUUUAACCUGUCAUGUAUUUUUAGUCCAGAAGACACUAAAUCUUGAAGCAGUAAAAAGACAAGAGACACCACUGCGCUUUGAAUAAGGAUGAUCCUAGAAUGAAUGGCUUUAAAACAAUUCUCACUUGAAUGGGGGAAUUUUCACAUGAAUGAAUGAACAUGUACUACAGCUAUAAAGAUGCUGAUUUUGUAGGUGGUUAAUUAUACAUUCAGAAGCAAGAAUCUGAGGGUGUUAAAAAGAUGCUGUGAAACAGAUCUAUAGAAUGCUCAAGCUAAAGAGAGUAGAGAAAGAAAUCAAUGGGACUGGACGUCCAUUGAGAGAUCAAAACUUCCUGAAGAAAGUGGCAGUGCAUUAAGUGAUAAACAAAUAAAUAAUGUAUUAGACUUCUUCUCUAAACUUCUAUUGUUUAUAAAGACUGAACGAGCUUUAUGAUAUGCAGUUAUAUUCUGAAUCAGUUUAGAUGAAUAAACUGUGAGACACGGAAAAGAUGGCAGUAGUGGGGAACUAAACUGUUGCUUUGUAUAUAAUGUAUACAUACAAUGCUGAGGCACUGCUGUGCAUCAUGAAGGGGAGUUUCAAGUUGUUGAGCUGAUUUUCCUCCCACAAUAGUAUACGUUGAUGUAUUUAAAAUACUGUAAAUAUGUCUAUGCUUAUUAACUAUGAUUGUUUUCAAAUUCAAGAAAGGAAUAACAAAAAUAGACAAACGGUAAACCAGAACUGAUACACUUGUCAGCUCUUGUGUAUGGUAUUUUGUAGUGAGUUUUCAACUGAGGUUGAACUUUUGGGAAUGAGUUUGCCUUAUGAUAAUUUAAAAGGUUAAAUAAUGUUAUUUCUCAAAAUUAACAGUAAGUGAGCACAGCACAGGACAGAUUUCUGUAAGUGUGGUGACAUGACUAGCUAGAUUUUUUUCAGGGCGUAAUAAAAAUCACUCCUCCAGAGUUGUUGUUUACUGCCUCCUUAGUAAUGCUGGAUAAAAUAACGAUAUAUGAAUUGCCCCCAGUGGUGAUUUGAACAGAUACAUUAUAUUCUGCAUUGCAGGAGCCUAGAAGAGCACAGUUAUCUUAUAUUAGCUUGAGGGACAGUCAUUUCUUAAACCAUUUCAUUAUGAUCACAAGCAGUUGUAUAAACACAUCCUAAAGCAGUUUUUAAAUGGUCAGAGAAUUUCACUUAGGAAAAGUAAAUGCCACAUGAUUUGUCAUGGAUAAAGAUUCAAAAGUAAACUAAGGCUAGAGAAUGUAAAAUUACGAAACCAGAGAAAUAAUUAUUAAAUUUAAAAAAGCAGGAAAACUGAAGAAUAUUAAGUUUCUUCAAUUCCAAAAUCAGUUCCCCCAGUUUCUCUGCAACGGUUGUCAGUUCUCCUGAGGAACACAUCGUUUUUACCUGCAGUUCCCAAGCUGGCUAUGGACUACCCUUAUUUGAAAAACAUGUCAUGCCUUCUUUCCCAAAUCAUGGUCAAGAGAAACAGCUGAACUCCAUCUAGUACAGGUUUGGGAGAGCACGCACCUUUGUGCUCCUAUGCCAUACUCCACAUGAUAUCCUCAGGCCUUACCAUUUGGAAGCCGGUCAUCUGUCCCAUUUGCUGGUUCACAUGGAAGCUGUUCCUGUCUAUUUCAGGUGAUAGAAUUUCGUAUUAAAAUCACU